AGAGAGAGAGAGAGAGAAGGGGGAAGGGAGUACCGUGGAGAAGAGAGUACCGUGGAGAAGAGAGAGAAAGAGAGUGGAGAGAGAGAAGAGAAUGAGAGAGGAGAAAGUUGACUGGAGAGAAAUCGAGAGAGUACCUAUAUUUAAAUGAAGGGUAUUUUUGUCUUUUCAAUCAAAAAGUGGACAGUUUUUAUUAUUUUUAUCUUAGUGGACAAUUUUUAUCUUUACAAUAUGAAAGUGGAUAGUUUUAUAUAUUAACUCU
rnacentral:lncRNA from 1 species